AGAGUUUGAUCCUGGCUCAGGACGAACGCUGGCGGCGUGCUUAACACAUGCAAGUCGAACGGAAUCCAUGGUGUAGCAAUACACCGGAAGAUUUAGUGGCGAACGGGUGAGGAUCACGUGAGAAACGUGCCCCAGACUCUGGGAUAACAAUUGGAAACGAUUGCUAAUACCGGAUGACGUCGGAGAAUCGCAUGAUUCACUGACGAAAGAUAUUUCGGUUUGGGAGCGUCUCGCGGCCUAUCAGCUUGUUGGUGGGGUAAUGGCCUACCAAGGCAACGACGGGUAGCUGGUCUGAGAGGAUGAUCAGCCACACUGGGACUGAGACACGGCCCAGACUCCUACGGGAGGCAGCAGUGGGGAAUCUUGCGCAAUGGGCGAAAGCUGAACGCAGCAACGCCGCGU
rnacentral:rRNA from 1 species